GACGAACGCUGGCGGCGUGCUUAACACAUGCAAGUCGAACGGAAAGGCCCUGCUUUUGUGGGGUGCUCGAGUGGCGAACGGGUGAGUAACACGUGAGUAACCUGCCCUUGACUUUGGGAUAACUUCAGGAAACUGGGGCUAAUACCGGAUAGGAGCUCCUGCUGCAUGGUGGGGGUUGGAAAGUUUCGGCGGUUGGGGAUGGACUCGCGGCUUAUCAGCUUGUUGGUGGGGUAGUGGCUUACCAAGGCUUUGACGGGUAGCCGGCCUGAGAGGGUGAACGGCCACAUUGGGACUGAGAUACGGCCCAGACUGCUACGGGAGGCAGCAGUGGGGAAUAUUGCACAAUGGGCGGAAGCCUGAUGCAGCAACGCCGCGUGCGGGAUGACGGCCUUCGGGUUGUAAACCGCUUUCGCCUGUGACGAAGCGUGAGUGACGGUAAUGGGUAAAGAAGCACCGGCUAACUACGUG
rnacentral:rRNA from 1 species